GCGCCGUGUAGGCCGGCGGGGUGGACAGGUAGGAGCUGUCCACGUGGAAGGUGCUGCGCGGCGGUUCCGUGCGGCCCACGUUGCU
rnacentral:tRNA from 1 species